CCCACGCCGCACGGGCGUCGCGUGCGUGAGGGGCGCGGGCCGGAGCGACCGGCGCGAGCGCCACCAGCGCGGCUCCGAACCGUCGCUUGGAGAGCCCGUCGCUCCCCCGGGGCUCACGUCGCCCAGAGAGAGGCCGCGGCUGGCGCGGGAGCUGGAGCAGGAUAGCCGUUGCUCAUCAAUAGGGGAAUGUGUUCUGAUUUAUGUUGGUCCUUGUUAUGUUUGCAUGGAUCAGGACUGACGUGAAUUGGAACACAUUCCCCUAUUGUACAGUACAGUACAGUACUUGCAUCCGCCAGCCACGUUCAAGGCUUAUUAUCUAUGGAGGACAUUCUCCAUUCUGAUUAAGGAGACAGCAGGUGAAGGAAAGCCCAGUGUAAAGGAGUUUUGGAAGUCCUACAACACCUGAAUGGUGUGGAAAACAUUGAUGCGUCGUGGGAAGAGGUCACCUCGCAAAGUAUGAACGGCGUUUGGUGCCAUGCAUGGCCAGAUGCUGUCCACAGCUUCGUGGGAUUUGAUGCUGUUCCUGGUCUCGAGCAAGCAAUUGUCAAGUUGGCAAAGGAUGUCAGCUUCAAGAAGGUGGAGGAGGAGGAUGUACAGGAGUUGCUGGAGUCUCAGGCUGAGCAACUGACAAAUGAACUGAUUGAGCUGGACCAACAAUGGAUAUCUGAAGAAAGCAAGGAUGAUGACGACAAUGACGAUGACGUAGGGCAGGAAGCCAGGAGUCUGAUGACAAAGAAUCUCUCCCAUUUCUGUGGAUUGCUAGAUGAGAUGACGGAAAUCAUACAGAGCAGUGAUCCUUCUUGUGAAUAGUCUGACAAAGUCUCCAGGGUUUUCAAUGAUGCAGUGGCUUGCUACAGGGAGAUCUAUCGUUCAAGGAUUCAUGCAGGAGAGCAGCUGUCGAUAAAAUCCUUUUUUAAGACUUCUGCAACCAAAAAGCAACCCAAGAAAAUCCAGCCGUCACCUCUUCCUAAGUUUAGCGUAAUCAACACUGUUUUAUACUGUAUUACUAUACUGUAUUUACUGUAUUAAAAUGUUCUAUGUGUUUGGUGUUA